rnacentral:lncRNA from 1 species
UUAUGAGCAUGAAUAUUGGAGCUAAAAUUUGGUGCCAUGUUUUUGGGAAUUUUCGGCCAAAUCCAAAGGGUGGAUUUUUUGGGUUCUUGUUUGACUUGUUAAAAGUGUUUUCAAGUGAACUUUUGGAACCCCUAUGUACCCUAGUUUGGUUAUAUGUUAUUUCCCUAAAGUUUGAAUGGUUUUGGGAUGUUUUUGGGUGAAAAAUGUUCAUGGAAAUUUUUGGGUUUUUUCAUGAAUGUUCUUCAUUGUUCUUGACAUUUUUGCCAAGAACAAAAAGUUUUGUGUUUUGAUUUAUUUCAUAAAGUUUAUGUUUUAUGUUUUUCAAAUGAUUUAAUGUGUUAGAUAUUUGUUUAAAUGGUGUAAGAAAUAUUGGUGGAUGUGUAAGGAUUAAUUUCCUUUCACACACACCACUUGCAUGACAUUUAUGUCAUGCACGACUUGCACCACUUGCAUGUUUUAUGUCAAAACUCACAAAUCAACACACACAUCACUCUAAUCCUUCUCCAAAACCGGCCCUCCCUCAAGUGGGAGUACUUUUGGGGCUUUUAUGCAAUUACAUAAAGUUUUGAUACUUUUGUGUAUUUGCACUUUGGCCCAAAAGUUUACGUUUUUACGUUUAGGUCCAAAAACGCUAAAGGACAAAUUGUUUUGCUCCUUUAAUGAAGUUUUUGCAUUAUUAAAAUUUUGGGUUCUAGUUGUAAUUACAUGAAGUAGUGGACUUUUGUGUUUUUACAAAGUGACCCCAAAAGUUUUGCAAUGUAGCCCAAAAGUUGAGGUUAAUUGCUUUAUAGCCCAAAAAGUUGUGGUUAUUGCAUGAUGGCCCAAAUAAGGUUGAGAACAAAAUUGUUUUGUCUCUUUAAAUGAGAAUUGGAUUUUCAUUUCAUUUAGCUCCAUUUAAAUCAAUUUUAUGGAUACAAAAACCAAAUGAAAAUGUUGCAUUCAAUUUAAUUAGUUAAAGUGUUAAUUAAUUAAAGGGUGAUUAUGAACCUAAGCCUAUGAUAAUUGAGCUAUGUGAAAGGCCGUUUCAAAUUUGUUUGAACCAUGGGAAUGUGUAGAUUAGAUUUUGGUUGUAAUUUGAUUUGAUCAAAUGUUGUAAAAGAGCUUAAGCUCUUCUUUACUUUAAAGUAAUUUGUAUUAUGCAAAUGUUGUAAUGAGCAUAAGCUCAUCUUUACUUUGAAGUACUUCUUUCUUGCUUUAUUUGAUAUGCAUGAAAAUGAAGUAGUUGGGUCCAACGCCCCUAAGACAACACGCCUUAAUGUGAUUAAACGCGUAACUAAAAUCAAUCACCAUCCCUAGACCGAGAUUCAACACUAGGCUCGUGUUGAAUCUAAACAAAGGUUCAUAGUCAUCCUAAGGCCCUAAGGCAACUAUAUAGUCCAUCAAAUGAAUGCAAAGUUUAUGUUAGUAGUAUCAUAUACUCUUGCUUUAAAAACCGUUUUAUAAGCAUAGUGGGAGUAUUAUAUACAACUAAAACAAUCCAAUGGACCAAUAGUUGUAAUAGGACCAAAAUUGUUUUAAUAUAGAUUAAAAUGAAUGUUUAUAUGUGAUGAGACCUAAAAACCUUCAACCAAACCAUUAUUAAGUUGAUAAGCGUGAGAGUGCUUUGAACACUCUUUCGUGGCCUUCCACCAUGGUAGCUCCGAUCAUUUGUGACUCGUACACCGGCUUCACCCUAUCAUGGGGGAGUACAAAGUGCGUGCUUACACUAAGGAGGAGUCUAUGUACAUACUUGAUGAGGUGAGUGUAGGCAACGAGGAUGGCCAACAUCAUAUCAUUGUGAGGCUAUUCUUGAACCCCUUCAUGAACUAAGCAUGGUUGGAAUGACUUAACUAAGUGUAAUGGAGCCAAUAUCAUAUCAUUGUGAGGUUACAUUCUCUAGAGGCCAAAUUAGAUGGGUACUUGCAAGAGAUGCAAAUGAGUAAGUGUACUCUCUCAUUAUUAUUAAUGCUAGCCAAUAUCAUAUCAUUGUGAGGUGGGCUUGGUAGUAGUGAGUCUCCCAUACCCUACUAAGAGUUUCCUCCAAAACUCUCGAAUUCCAAUGAGGGAUAUGGAAUUUGCCAAAAAUAGUGGGUGGUGCUAUUUGAUUUAAAGAGCCGAAUCAAAUGGCUUAAAAAUCAAUCAAUUUAUAUUCGUUAUGUAUUUACUUACCAUUAUAUUUGCAAACGCUAUCCCACACUUGACAAAUAAAAGCCGAAAGUUUAGUUUCCGGACUUGGUACAACAAUCCCAAAGAUUGUCUUAAAUGGAUUGUAUAUGUACCUAAGUAGUCUCAUCCUCACAAUCUUCCUAUUGAUAAUGUACCAUUGGAAGAAAAUGUUAGAUAAGUCUAUCAUAAGGAGGACAACACUUUUAAUGUCAUAAUUCUUCAAUUACAAUUUGUUGUAUGAAGAAAUAAGAGUUGCUUUGAACAACCCUUAAUCAAUGCAAACAUUAGUGCUUGUUUCUUUGUUACAUGAACAAGGAACUUUAGAAGAAAGCACAAAGGCAUGGACACUUAAUGUGCCAUGAUUCUUCACUUGCAAAUUGUUGUAUGAAGAAAUGAGAGUUGCCUUGAACAACUCUUGAAAGUUUGUAAUUAUGUUUAGAACAUAAUGGUUGGUUGACAAAAAUAGUCCAUUAACAUGAACUUAUGAUGAUUUUGAAUCAUUGAGUGUUGAAGUGAUAAACCACUUAACGAGACGAAAACUAGGCAAGGACUUCACCUUUGUGUCCCUAUCCUAAUGGUUCACUAAGUUUAUUGUAAACUAUAUGGUGAACAAUAACCACACACUCUCCAAAAUGUUUGAUGUGUAUAACACAAUUAAAGUAAGUUUCAAGAGAGAUAGUGGGAGUUUAGGGACCCUGACUAUUGUAGUCAAAGGAGAAGUCAAAUGAAGAAGAUAAAAUUAACUCCAAGGGAACAAACUUUCUUUAUGAAAGGAUGGACAUUGGAAGGGGUAUUUGCAAGAAAUGUCUUGCAAGUGUCAAGAACACACCUUUCGAAGGUGUUGUAAAUUGUUCUUGAAUAGUUCAAAACAGUUGAAUGCUUGAUUCCGUAUUAGUAACUAUGUUUUACAAUCGUUGUAAAAGUGUGACUAAUAAGAAGUAGAAGAUAUAUGAGAGAAGAAAAGGUACUUCACAUUCGGAACGUGAAUAAAAUAAAGAUCUCUACGAAAGCAGAUAGUACUUACUUCCUCAUAUGAACUACCAAAGAAAUUGGAAAAACCAAAGAUUGUCUUUACAUUCCAAUUUUAAGGAAUUUAAUUCCGUCACUAUAGUAGAGAUGGAUGAAUGUUUUGUUUGACAAAACAUUGUUCUUUAUUAAUCAAUGAUUGGAUUAUAGUAAUCUAAUUGAUUGUCUCUAUAGUAGAGAUGAUAUGGUAGUAUUAACUGUUUAGAAUAUAAUGAUGCUUAAAACCCAAAAGGUUGCAAGGUAGUGACUAAUCCCAACUGAGUUGUGAUACCUCUAAAACAUAAAUUACGAGUUGGUCAUUGAUGGAUGCUUUGGAUCGUUAGAUCCAGAUCCAAUACCUUCUUGUUAAAAUUGUAUAGAGGCGAAAUGUUCGAAUCUUUAUUCUUUUGGAAAGAAGAAAGAAUCACAAAGUUGUUGAGGUUAAUUCACUUAGAUGUUAGUGGCACUUGUCCACAAACAUAAUACUACUCAUGUUGUAUGACAUUCACCGAAGAUCACUCUCGGUUGGACUAUAGUUUAUUUUGAAUAAACACAAGUCUGAAUACUUUGCAAAAUGUUUCAAAGAAUUCAAGUAAUGUAAGUUGAUGAGUAAGACGUCUAAAGUAUUUACCUCCUUAGAUUUGAUCCAAGAUAAGGUAACACUUUAGAACAGUUUCCUUGAAAGAUAUCAAGGAAAUAAGCAUCAUAAGAUAAUAGAUUUCUCCAUAAGGAGAAGAACGAACUUAAAUAAGAUUUAGUUCGUUGGAUAUUAUCAAUUACCCAUAUAUAGGAUAUAUACUUCUAAGACAAUAUGAUUGUCAAUUAGAAGAUCUUCCAAAAUUUUCAUGACUCCAUAAGAUGUAGUUGGAAGGAAAGACAAAACUUAAUCAUGUUAAGAUUUGGGGUUGUGAGCCAAUCAGCAAUAUUUGUUUGAUAACAAUCUUGUGGGAUAUCCUUAAAUUAACUUUUGGAUAUCGCUUCUAUAAACCAAUUGACAAAUGUUGUUUGUUGGGUAGUUCAUUGUAAUCCUACAAUGUGAUUUGCCUAAAAGCAAAUGAACGAGAGAUAGAACUCAAAGAAUAGGUUCUUUGAGAGACAAGAAAGUAAUCAACAAAUAUAAACAACCUAGUUCCUAUACCAAAAGCUCCAAGGUAGUCGAGAAGGAUUUAUAAACCGUCUCAGUUGAAUGGUUUGAACUUUAUGACUAUGUCAUAGAGUUGCACCUCUUAAUUCAAAAGAAAUAAGAAUGAAAAUCCUUAUGACUACAUUGAGUGUAUAUAUAUGAUAUAUACUCAAGGAAAUGGUAAAGUACCAUUUGACCCGAAAUAAUGAAACCUUCAUAAGCUAAUUGGUAGCUUAAGGUGACUACAAUCAAAGAGAAUGGUUGACUUUGAAGAAACCAUCUUUGAGAUAGUCUUGGUUUCAAUUAAUUCGAAGAUAGCUAGCUACAACUAAAUGGUGACUCAAUGUUUGGACAUAAUAUGAGUUUCCGAAACCAUUAUUAAGAUGGUCUUAAUAAUAUAUGUCUAAAACUAUGAAUCACAAGACAUGUAAGUUGUAGAGAUCCAUCCAUCAUGAAUCUAAGCAAGCUAGUGGGAGAUAUGAGCAUCUUAUGAGAAAAGGAUCAAAUCGUUUGAUUUCUCAUAAAGAUGUAAAUGAAUCUUUUGUUUACUAGGUUUACAAAAGAUUAGUGGGAGUUAAUCGUGUUCCUAAAAUUUAAAUAUAUAUGAUAUAUUAAUUUUGGAAAUGAAAAGAAUACUUCUUCGUUAAAGUUAUGACUUUAAAACAUUAUAUGAAAAUAGAAUGUAUAUGGGAGAUAUAGUCUAUAUACAUGGGAUGGAAAUCUAUAAUGAUAUAUUUCAUGA